rnacentral:rRNA from 1 species
CCCUUAGAUGUUCUGGGCUGUACGCGUGUUACAAUCGGGAGUACAACAAGAUUGCAAAUCCUAGUGGAUGAGUGGUUCUUCGAAAUUUUCUGAAGACUGGGAUAGUUGAUUGAAAUUAUUCAACUCAAACGAGGAAUUCCUUGUAAUUGUAAUUCAUUAUAUUGUAAUGAAUACGUCCCUGCCCUUUGUACACACCGCCCGUCGCUCCUACCGAUCGAAGAGUUAGGUGAAUUGUUUUGAUCGAUAAGAUUUGACUAUGGUCAACUCUCGUUGUGAAAUUCUGUGAAUCUGACUGUUUAGAGGAAGGAAAAGUCGUAACA